rnacentral:rRNA from 1 species
GAUGAACGCUAGCGGCAGGCUUAAUACAUGCAAGUCGUGGGGCAGCAGGGUUGUAGCAAUACAAUCGCUGGCGACCGGCAAACGGGUGCGUAACACGUACGCAACCUUCCCGUUACUGUGGCAUAGCCCAGGGAAACUUGGAUUAAUACCACAUAUUAUAUUGAUGAGGCAUCUCAUUGAUAUCAAAGCUUCGGCGGUAACGGAUGGGCGUGCGGUUGAUUAGGUAGUUGGCGGGGUAACGGCCCACCAAGCCUACGAUCAAUAGCUAAUGUGAGAGCAUGAUCAGCCACACGGGCACUGAGACACGGGCCCGACUCCUACGGGAGGCAGCAGUAAGGAAUAUUGGGCAAUGGACGAAAGUCUGACCCAGCCAUGCCGCGUGAAGGAUUAAGGUCCUCUGGAUUGUAAACUUCUUUUCUCUGGGGCGAAAACCAGCUAUUCUUAGCUAUUUGACAGUACCAGAGGAAUAAGCACCGGCUAACUCCGUGCCAGCAGCCGCGGUAA